UCGGUGUUCCUAUUCAAAUCCGUCGGUGGAACCGCUUUCACAUACAUUCUCCGUACAGGUGAUAAUAAAAAUAAGAGCUUUUAAAAGAGAAAAGAAAUUACGAUUGCCCAGAAAAGGGGAAGGUGACCCAGUCAAAUAUCGGAUUUGGAGAUAUCUGGUCUCUCUGUAUAGCUUCUUAGGACGUGACGUUGCAGAACGCGAACGAGAGGAAAGAAAGCGAAGAUCUUUCAAUGUGGAUACAAUGGGCAGGGUUGGAGCCCAUCCAAUAUCGUCGAAUCGCACAGCGAGUUGAAUGUAUGUGAGAGAGAACGUGUGUGAGAUGGAUGAUUAAGGGAAGCUAGUU
rnacentral:misc_RNA from 1 species